UACGGAGGGGGCUAGCGUUGGUCGGAAUUACUGGGCGUAAAGCGCACGUAGGCGGCUUAUUAAGUCAGGGGUGAAAUCCUGGGGCUCAACCCCAGAACUGCCCUUGAUACUGAGGAGCUUGAGGCCGGGAGAGGCGAGUGGAAUUCCGAGUGUAGAGGUGAAAUUCGUAGAUAUUCGGAAGAACACCAGUGGCGAAGGCGGCUCACUGGCCCGGUACUGACGUUGAGGUGCGAAAGCGUGGGGAGCAAACAGG
rnacentral:rRNA from 1 species